AAGGCUGCCUGAGAUAACCCACUGCCUUACCCAAAAGGUCUAGACUCUAGAGCCCUUUUGGGCAGUCUCCAUGGUCAGGUCCAACUGAAAGAGGAGUCAUUUUGAGACUGUGAGGUGGUCGCUGCAAUCUGCUCCUCUGUCUCCAUUCCAAAAAGAGACUGUGUGUAAGAGUCUGCUCUCUUGGGGAUUGGAAUACCAUCUGUGGAGGUUAUUUGGAUGCUGAAACAUUUUGGCAUGCUUCCCAAUCCACUGCAGACUCAUGAAUGAUUCACAGAAAAAUAAAGAACACUGAGCAAUACAGCCCA
rnacentral:lncRNA from 1 species